CCUGGAUCUGCUGCUGAUGUAGAGGUCCGUCCCAGGAAGCUCACAGGUAGACGUUGUCGGCUGAGUGAAACCUCUCGCUGAACGAUCGGAUCGCACACCUGAAUCCGUCAGCCGAUCAGCUGACCGAGUCCGGCCCCGCAGCAUUCCUCACCCACAUUCCAAGGAUGUUAUGAGCAGGAUAAGCCGCUCCCGCCCUGCACACUCACCCAAACACGGCGAUGUGAAUCUCGUCAGCCUGUCGGGCUGCGGCACGAUAACGUCUUCCUGUUUAUUCCCGCUGACACGCUGGUCAUCAGGCUGAAGCUCGGGCUGAGAAGGUUCCAGAUGUUCCAGAUGUUUGCUGUCAGCCAGCUGCUGUGUGAACCUCCGCCGCACACCAACUCUGGAAUAAUAAACUGAAGUGAAAGCUUUGAGUGAGA
ensembl:lncRNA